rnacentral:rRNA from 1 species
UGAUGAAGGACGUGGCAAGCUGCGAUAAGCUUGGGGGAGUUGCAUGCAAGCUUUGAUCCCAAGGUCUCUGAAUGCGCUGAGAAGCGGAACUACGCUGGGAAUUGAAACAUCUUAGUACCAGCAGGAAAAGAAAAUAAUAAUGAUUCCCUUAUUAGCAGAGAGCGAAAAGGGAACAGGGCAAACCGAAUCUCCUUUUGAAAAAAAGGCAGAGAUGUGGUGAAGAUAAGUGGCUAAGGAAUCGAGAAAAAAUUACCUGGAAAGGUAUGCUUCAGAGGGUGAUAGCCCCGUAUUCAAAGAUUCUAUGUCACUCUUCAAAAGAGUAGGGCUUCCUGGAUUGGAGGUCUGAAUAUGGGAGGAUUAACUCCCAACCCUAAAUAUAACCAAAGUCCGAUAGUGUACUAGUACCGCGAGGGAAAGCUGAAAAGCACUCUUAGCAGAGGGUGAAAAGACUUGAAAUCUAACAGCUACAGAUUGUUACUGCUCUAUUCUGUUUACAGAAAUGGGUUGUAACGUACGUUUCGAAGAACGGGCCAGGGAGUUUAUUCAUAUGGCAAGGCUAACCUUUUAUUAGGGUAACCGAAGCGAAAGCAAGUCUGAAAGGGCGUAAUUCGCGACUCGCUAUUGUGAUUAGUUGUUAAAAAUUAGUCAACAGCGAAUCGCUCAGUCAUAUGGGUAAGACCUGAAGCCAGAUGAUCUAUUCAUGGGCAAGGUGAAGUCUUUCGAAAGAGAGAUGGAGGCCUGAACCUGUGUUGUGGACAUGCACUUGGAUGACCUGUGAAUAGGGGUGAAAAGCCUAUCUAAUCUGGCGAUGGCUGGUUCCUGCUGAAAUAUGCCUUCGUAUAGUCUUGUCGUGUAGCUUGUUAAUGGUGUAAAGUACGGAUGGAAAUUGCAGGGGCUAUUGCUUACGGAUUUCUUUCCAACUCAGAAACCAUUAACUGCUUAAGACAGGAAACAGGGGCAGUAUGUAAGAUACUGUUCCGAGACCGGAACAACGGAGACCAGAGUUAAGGUCCCAAAAUUUAUGCUAAGUGUAUUGAAGGUUGUCUUGAACCUAAGACACUGGGGAUGUAAGCCUAGAAGCAGCUAUCAUUUAAAGAAAGCGUAACAGCUCACCCAUCGAGGUUCGAGGCGCCGAAAAUGGACGGGGCUCAAGCAUAAUACCGAUACUCUGGAGACACAUUUUUGUGUCUGGUAAGCAGGCGUGCUUUCUGCGUAGAAGGUUUUCCAAAAGGAAGACUGGAGCGGGAAGCAAUGAGAAUCCUGGCAAUAGUAGGAUGUGAUAUUCCUGAGAACGGAAUAGGUCAUAAGGGCAAGGUUUCCUUGGCAAUAUAUGUUAGCUAAGGGUUAGUCAGGACCUAAGUUGUAUUUUAACCUAAUACAACGAUGGAUAUCAGGUUAAUAUUCCUGAACUGAUUAAGUCUUAUAUAGUAAGAUUUGCUUUCGGAUAAGGGAGCACUCGAAAGAGUGUUCUAAUAGAGAAACAAGAGGAGGGUAAUCCAUAGAUCCUUGUGAAUCUGUUAGACAAAAUCCCUGAUUCCAAGAGUCAGUGAAAAGAUCUUACUCUUGACUUAAUCACCUGUACCCACAACCGGCACUGGUGCCCUAGCUGAAUAGGCUAAGACCUGAAAGGUAAAACCAACCAAGGGAAUUCGGCAAGUUAGUCCUGUAGCUUCGGCUGAAGGGAUGUCUAUCUUUGUGUUUUGUUUCUUCGGAAAUUUAAUGCAUUGAUAGAUCUCAGUAACAAGGACGGCCCGACUGUUUACCAAAAACGUAACCAAGUGCUAAUCCGAAAGGACUUGUAUACUUGGUGAAACCUGCCCAGUGGUGGUGUGUCAAACUGGCUUUCAAGCCAGCUAAGCCCCAUUAAACGGCGGGGGUAACUAUGACCCUCUUAAGGUAGAAUUACUGCCUUAGUAAAAUCUGGCUAUAUGCUGGGAAAUCUGAGUAUCUCACUCUACAACGACAACUAAAAUUUUUAUAGUUGGUUCGCGUGAAAAUGAGAUGAGUGCAGACCACCAGCAGGAAAGACUAGAUGCUUCAUGGGUUGUUGGUUUUAGUGAUGGGGAAGGAUGUUUCCAUAUCUCCAUUAAUAAAAUUCCUGGAAUGAGUUUAGGAUGGCAAGUCCUUCCAGAGUUUAGAAUUGUUCAACAUGAAAAAGAUGAAUCUGUUUUAUAUAAAAUCAGAGAUUACUUUGGUUUCGGAAAUAUUAAAAUUAACAACAUUGAUGAAAAUGCAACAAGAAAAGGAUUUAGAGUUAGAGGCUUAGAGAAUCAUAGAGAACAUCUAACAAAAAAAGGGCUUGACAAAAUUGCCAAACUUGUUUCAGAAAUGAAUCGUAAACCAAACUUAAAGUAUCUAGAAUCCUCAGAGACUAUACGCCAGACACAAUCUAGUAAGAUUGUGAAGAUAUAGUCCGACCCUUAUGGCGACAUAAGGAGGCUUGCAGAAAUGACAAGCCCCUCGAGAAAUCUCGAGAGUAACAAACGUGAACGUAAUACCUUGUCGUCUGAAUGGCGACUUGCAUGAAUGGUUUAACGAGGUUGUCACUGUCCCUGGUUGGAGCCUUCUGAAAAUACUGCGUGGUGAAAAUGCCACGGACGCCUAGUGGGAAGCGAAGACCUUGUGGAACUUUACUGCAACUUGUUGUUGUAGUUUUAAGAAAAAUGCAUAGAAUAAGUAGGAGCGUCGAUGCUGUCAUUUCGGUGGCAGCGGAGCGUCAGUGUAAUACUACUCACUUUUCUUAGAACUGCUCACUCUUUAGAGGACAGCAACAGGCGGGCAGUUUGGCUGGGGCGGCGCCCUGUCGAAAAAAUAUCGAUAGGACCCAAAGACAAGCUCAUCCAGCUUGGAAAUCUGGAGUUGAGUGCAAGGGCAAAAGCUUGUCUGACUGUAUUCUGAAAAGCAAGGAAUACAGGCUCGAAAGAGAGGCCUAGCGAACCCACGUGCUUUUUUAAUAGAAGCCGUGUCUGAUAAAAAAGUUACCCCAAGGAUAACAGGCUUGUCGCGCCCGAUAGUCCAUAUUGACGGCGCGGUUUGGUACAUCGCUGUCGGCUCUUCCUAUCCUAGCCGUGCAGAAGCGGCUAAGGGUGUCGGAGUUCACGCAUUAAAAGGAAUCGUUAGCUGGGUUAAGAACGUCGCGAGACAGUUUGUAUGAUAUCUACUAGGUGUGUUGUUGUCUGAGUGGAACGAGUCUGUAGUACGAGAGGAACCAGACUCGGAUGCCUCUGGUGAGCGGUUGUCAUAUGGCAGGCCGCAUAGCUACGCAUUGUGUGGAUAAGAGCUGAAUGCAUCUAAGCUCGAAGCCACCCGCAAAACGAGACAACUAAGGCCGUUAUAGAAGAUGACGUUGAUAGAGCUCUUGUGUAAGAUGCA